rnacentral:rRNA from 1 species
GACGAACGCUGGCGGCGUGCUUAACACAUGCAAGUCGAACGGGCCCGCCCCUGUUUUUGGGGGUGGGUUGAGUGGCGAACGGGUGAGUAUCACGUGAGUAACCUGCCCCCUGCUCCUGGAUAACUGCUUGAAAGGGCGGCUAAUACGGGGUGUGCCGGCUGGUCCGCAUGGGCCUGGUCGGGAUAGUUUCAUCUUCGGGUGUUUCGGUGGGGGAUGGGCUCGCGGCCUAUCAGCUUGUUGGUGGGGGGAUGGCCCACCAAGGCGGUGACGGGUAGCCGGCCUGAGGGGGUGGGCGGCCACACUGGGACUGGGACACGGCCCAGCCUCCUGCGGGAGGCAGCAGUGGGGGGUAUUGCACAAUGGGCGGAAGCCUGAUGCAGCGACGUCGCGUGAGGGAUGGAGGCCUUCGGGUUGUGAACCUCUUUCUCCGGUGGUGAAGGCCCUGUCCGUUGCGGCGGGGUUGACGGUAGCCGGGUAUGAAGCGCCGGCUAACUACGUG